CCUACGGGGGGCAGCAGUGGGGAAUAUUGCGCAAUGGGCGAAAGCCUGAUGCAGCAACGCCGCGUGAAGGAAGAAGUCUUUCGGUUUGUAAACUUCUUUCAUCAGGGACGAAGCAAGCGACGGUACCUGAAGAAUAAGCCACGGCUAACUACGCGCCAGCAGCCGCGGUAAUACGUAGGUGGUAAGUGUUAUCCGGAUUUACUGGGAGUAAAGGGCGUGUAGGCGGGAGUGCAAGUCAGAUGUGAAAACUAUGGGCUCAACCCAUAGCCUGCAUUUGAAACUGUACUGCUUGAGUGCUGGAGAGGCAAUCGGAAUUCCGUGUGUAGCGGUGAAAUGCGUAGAUAUACGGAGGAACACCAGUGGCGAAGGCGGAUUGCUGGACGGUAACUGACGCUGAGGCGCGAAAGCGUGGGGAGCAAACAGGAUUAGAUACCCGAGUAGUC
rnacentral:rRNA from 1 species